UAGAGCUGAUCCAUCCAGGGAAAUGAAUGAAAUAGGCACUUGUGUAGCCUUUGAUUACACUCUCAGAGAUAGCUGAUCUCUUUGUUAUAUUUUAUUUCUCCCCAGUUAUAUGUAAAAACAAAUUUUCACAUUCAUUUGCUAAAAGGUUGAGCCUCAAAUUCUAGCCAUCCCUCCCUCCCCCCCAAGACAGUGAACAUUUGGAUCAAGGUUUCCUGUGUGUGAUCAUGCAAAACGUUUGUCCAGAUUGGUCACAUGGUAGAAGAUAUUAAAAAAAAGAAGAAGAAAAUAUAGUAAAAGAUGGAUGGCUUUGGUGUCCAUUCAGACUCUGUGGGUUCCCUCUCUGGAGAGGGAGAGCAUCUUUCAUCCUGGAUCCUUUGGAAUGGUCCUGAAUCAUUGCAUUGCUGAGAGGAGCUAAGUCAUUGCCAGGUGAUCAGCCUACAUUAUUGCUGUUGCUGCAUGUGGUGUUCUCCCAGCUCUCCUCCCUUCAUCUUGCAUCAGUUCGUAAAAACCAGAGACAUUUUGGACAUGGAAAGAGCCUGGAGUGGCUACAAAGAUUCCAGCAGCAGCAGCAGGGGAUGGGCAGUGAAGAUUUGGAAUGCUGAGGAAAGGAAUCCAGCAGUUGGAGCCAGGGUCUCUGACUUUGAGACAGCUACUGAGGGGGUCUAGUCUUUGACUGGGUCUUGAUCCCAAGAAACCUCUUAUUUCAUUGACUCCUGAUCUCUAUCCCCCCAAAACCCUCCAACAACAGUGGACAGAGACUGAAAAGGAGAGAGUCCACAAGAAGAAUCAUCACAGUCUCCUCUUCUGGACUGAGGCACCUGCUGGGCAGGGCUAAAGCCAGUGUUCAUCACCUUGAACCCCUCAGGGGUUUGGGGCCAUUAAGCUCAAGUCACCUCAACUUUGGGAGAAGGGUUUAGACAGUUAGGGACUCCUUCCUCCUCCCCUUUGUCUCAACUUACCAGCCUUUCCUAAUUUCAUCCUACAUUCCUGUUGCCUUAGAAUAAAUUCUGUUAUCCACUACA
rnacentral:lncRNA from 1 species